UGUCUCCUCUGUCCGUGUCUCUGUCCGUGUCUCUGUCCGUGUGUCUCUUCAGGAGACGAUGGAGCAGCAGCUGUCUGAGCCUCAGGUCCUGACUCCCGACUUCAGCAAACCAGAGGCCCCGCUGCAGAUCCAUGCCGCCAUGCUGGCUCUUGAUGCCUUCCAGGAGCAACACAACAGACUGCCCAAUAUUGGGUGCUGUCGGGAUGCGGAGGUUCUGGUCAAACUAACAGAGGAAGUCAACCACACCUUGACAAACGGAGG